rnacentral:misc_RNA from 1 species
AGGGGGGUAUGGAUUAGGAACAGUAUAUGGAGGUCGAGGAAGUGAUCCAGGUUGCUGUCCAUGAGCAUUGUAGUAUGGGCCCCGCCACCCUGGAUAGGCAGGUUGGCCAUACUCCUGACUUGUUGGGGGCUGUUGUUGAACCUGUGGAGGAGGGUAAGGCAUACCAGGAGCAGGGGGAAUAUGGUAAGAUGGUGGCUGAUGGGGAGCACUAUAAGUGGCAGGAGGAUGAGCGUAUCCCGGCAUUGUUGGCUGCUCAGGAGGCUGAUAGUAAGGCAUUUGGGGGCGAGGAUGGGGAACGUUUUGCGGAUCAACUGCAGGGGGUGGACUUGAUCUUGGAGUUUGAU